GCACGGGGACGACCCUGCGCUUUUCCCAUCAUUAUCGGCCGGGACGACCCGC
rnacentral:ncRNA from 1 species